rnacentral:rRNA from 1 species
AACGAACGCUGGCGGCAGGCCUAACACAUGCAAGUCGAGCGCGCCCUUCGGGGUGAGCGGCGGACGGGGGAGUAACGCGUGGGAACGUUCCCUUUUCUACGGAAUAGCUUCGGGAAACUGAGAGUAAUACCGUAUACGCCCUUUGGGGGAAAGAUUUAUCGGAAAAGGAUCGGCCCGCGUUGGAUUAGGUAGUUGGGGGGGUAAUGGCCUACCAAGCCGACGAUCCAUAGCUGGGUUGAGAGGAUGAUCAGCCACACUGGGACUGAGACACGGCCCAGACUCCUACGGGAGGCAGCAGUGGGGAAUCUUAAACAAUGGGGGCAACCCUGAUCUAGCCAUGCCGCGUGAGUGAUGAAUGCGUUAGGGUUGUAAAGCUCUUUCACCUGGGAAGAUAAUGACGGUACCAGCAGAAGAAGCCCCGGCUACCUCCGU